CACCGCGGUUAUACGAGAGACUCAAGUUGACAGUCAUCGGCGUAAAGAGUGGUUAAGAUGUAUAGAAACUAAAGCUAAAUGCCUUCAAAGCUGUUAUACGCUCUCGAAGGUAAGAAACCCAACUACGAAAGUGGCUUUAUUAAAUCUGACUCCACGAAAGCUGGGGCA
rnacentral:rRNA from 2 species